GGCGUCGAGCGGCGGACGGGUGAGUAAUGCAUAGGAAUCUGCCCGGUAGUGGGGGAUAACCUGGGGAAACUCACGCUAAUACCGCAUACGUCCUACGGGAGAAAGCAGGGGCUCUUCGGACCUUGCGCUAUCGGAUGAGCCUAUGUCGGAUUAGCUGGUUGGUGAGGUAACGGCUCACCAAGGCGACGAUCCGUAGCUGGUCUGAGAGGAUGAUCAGCCACAUCGGGACUGAGACACGGCCCGAACUCCUACGGGAGGCAGCAGUGGGGAAUAUUGGACAAUGGGCGCAAGCCUGAUCCAGCCAUGCCGCGUGUGUGAAGAAGGCCCUCGGGUUGUAAAGCACUUUCAGUGGGGAAGAAAUCCUCGGGGCUAAUACCCUCGAGGGAGGACAUCACCCACAGAAGAAGCACCGGCUAACUCCGUGCCAGCAGCCGCGGUAAUACGGAGGGUGCGAGCGUUAAUCGGAAUUACUGGGCGUAAAGCGCGCGUAGGCGGCGUGAUAAGCCGGUUGUGAAAGCCCCGGGCUCAACCUGGGAACGGCAUCCGGAACUGUCAGGCUAGAGUGCAGGAGAGGAAGGUAGAAUUCCCGGUGUAGCGGUGAAAUGCGUAGAGAUCGGGAGGAAUACCAGUGGCGAAGGCGGCCUUCUGGACUGACACUGACGCUGAGGUGCGAAAGCGUGGGUAGCAAACAGGAUUAGAUACCCUGGUAGUCCACGCCGUAAACGAUGUCGACUAGCCGUUGGGGUCCUUGAGACCUUUGUGGCGCAGUUAACGCGAUAAGUCGACCGCCUGGGGAGUACGGCCGCAAGGUUAAAACUCAAAUGAAUUGACGGGGGCCCGCACAAGCGGUGGAGCAUGUGGUUUAAUUCGAUGCAACGCGAAGAACCUUACCUACUCUUGACAUCGUGCGAACUUGGUAGAGAUACCUUGGUGCCUUCGGGAACGCACAGACAGGUGCUGCAUGGCCGUCGUCAGCUCGUGUUGUGAAAUGUUGGGUUAAGUCCCGUAACGAGCGCAACCCUUGUCCCUAUUUGCCAGCGAUUCGGUCGGGAACUCUAGGGAGACUGCCGGUGACAAACCGGAGGAAGGUGGGGACGACGUCAGGUCAUCAUGGCCCUUACGAGUAGGGCUACACACGUGCUACAAUGGCCGGUACAAAGGGUUGCGAAGCCGCGAGGUGGAGCCAAUCCCGAAAAGCCGGUCUCAGUCCGGAUCGGAGUCUGCAACUCGACUCCGUGAAGUCGGAAUCGCUAGUAAUCGUGAAUCAGAAUGUCACGGUGAAUACGUUCCCGGGCCUUGUACACACCGCCCGUCACACCAUGGGAGUGGAC
rnacentral:rRNA from 1 species